rnacentral:rRNA from 1 species
CCUACGGGAGGCAGCAGUGAGGAAUAUUGGUCAAUGGACGAGAGUCUGAACCAGCCAAGUAGCGUGAAGGAUGACUGCCCUAUGGGUUGUAAACUUCUUUUAUAAAGGAAUAAAACGAGGCACGUGUGCCUUUUUGCAUGUACUUUAUGAAUAAGGAUCGGCUAACUCCGUGCCAGCAGCCGCGGUAAUACGGAGGAUCCGAGCGUUAUCCGGAUUUAUUGGGGUUAAAGGGAGCGUAGAUGGGUUGUUAAGUCAGUUGUGAAAGUUUGCGGCUCAACCGUAAAAUUGCAAUUGAUACUGGCUGUCUUGAGUACAGUUGAGGUAUGCGGAAUGCGCGGUGUAGCGGUGAAAUGCUUAGAUAUCACGAAGAACUCCGAUUGCGAAGGCAGCUUACUAAACUGCCACUGACAUUGAUGCUCGAAAGUGUGGGUAUCAAACAGGAUUAGAUACCCCAGUAGUC